GUUUUACUCGGUUACCACUCCAUGCUUACAAGCAUCACUGUGCCAAUAGAUCUAGGAUAGGAAUAACACCAUACAGAGUAACAAAACAAUAAGCAAUCUAGAAGUAGUGACUGGUGAACCAUGUGUACAUGUAGAGAGAGAAGAGUGAGAACUGAGAAGGUGUAUCCAAGCGACAUCUUACAGCACAACACAGCAUGACGAAAAGGGAUCAGAAGGAACCCAGACUAGUAACAUCCCGGAAACAG
rnacentral:misc_RNA from 1 species